UACGUAGGUGGCAAGCGUUGUCCGGAAUUAUUGGGCGUAAAGCGCGCGCAGGUGGUUCCUUAAGUCUGAUGUGAAAGCCCCCGGCUCAACCGGGGAGGGUCAUUGGAAACUGGGGAACUUGAGUGCAGAAGAGGAUAGUGGAAUUCCAAGUGUAGCGGUGAAAUGCGUAGAGAUUUGGAGGAACACCGGUGGCGAAAGCGGCUCUCUGGACUGUAACUGACACUGAGGCUCGAAAGCGUGGGUAGCAAACAGG
rnacentral:rRNA from 1 species